AGAGUUUGAUCCUGGCUCAGGAUGAACGCUGGCGGCGUGCCUAAUACAUGCAAGUCGAACGCACUAGUUUACUAGUGAGUGGCGAACGGGUGAGUAACACGUAGGUAACCUGCCCUUAAGACGAGGAUAACCAUUGGAAACGAUGGCUAAGACUGGAUAGGAACAUUCGAGGCAUCUUGGAUGUUUUAAAAGACUGGAAACAGUAUGCUUAAGGAGGGGCCUGCGGCGCAUUAGUUAGUUGGUGAGGUAAAGGCUCACCAAGACGAUGAUGCGUAGCCGGACUGAGAGGUUGAACGGCCACAUUGGGACUGAGAGACGGCCCAAACUCCUACGGGAGGCAGCAGUAGGGAAUUUUCGGCAAUGGGGGCAACCCUGACCGAGCAACGCCGCGUGAAUGACGAAGUACUUCGGUAUGUAAAGUUCUUUUAUCGGGGAAGAAUGGCAAGCGGAAAAGCUUGAUUGACGGUACCCAAUGAAUAAGCCCCGGCUAACUAUGUGCCAGCAGCCGCGGUAAUACAUAGGGGGCAAGCGUUAUCCGGAAUUAUUGGGCGUAAAGGGUGCGUAGGCGGUUUAUUAAGUCUUUGGUGUAAGUGCAGUGCUCAACGCUGUGAUGCUAAAGAAACUGGUAGACUUGAGUGUGGUAGAGGCAAGUGGAAUUCCAUGUGUAGCGGUAAAAUGCGUAAAUAUAUGGAGGAACACCAGUGGCGAAGGCGGCUUGCUGGGCCACAACUGACGCUGAGGCACGAAAGCGUGGGGAGCAAACAGGAUUAGAUACCCUGGUAGUCCACGCCGUAAACGAUGAGUACUAAGUGUUGGAGAAAUUCAGUGCUGUAGUUAACGCAAUAAGUACUCCGCCUGAGUAGUACGUACGCAAGUAUGAAACUCAAAGGAAUUGACGG
rnacentral:rRNA from 1 species